CGGGUGGUGGCAGUGGCGGAGCCCCGGGCGGGCAGCCUGGACGCCCCGUCCGCUGCCGCUGCCGCCGCCAGGCUUUCCGUGCAAGAUGCAGUUCCUCCUGGGGAAUCCGUUCAGCGCGCCGGUGGGACAGUGCAUCCGGAGACCAUGCUCACUUGUAUCUGAAACUCCCAAGCGAGAUUGGUCUGUGUGAAUUCCUGUUUUCUGCAGAUACGUCUUUGCCAGACUCGACUCUUUCUGGAGAGGGAAACACAGAAGCAGAGAUCAUGGCUGCUGUGUUUGUUUCCAUUGGACCUCUGGAGUCACUGACUUUCAAAGAUGUGGCUAUAGACUCCACAUUGGAGGCCUGGAGACUGAUGGACCCUACACAGAGGAACCUGCACAAGGAUGUGAUGCUGGAGAAUGACAGGAAUCUUGUCUCCCUGGGUGAGGGCUUGCAGUUUCCAAACCAGAUAUGAUAUCUCAUUUGGAGAAUGGACAAUGGUGAGAGAAAUUUCAAGAGGCCCCUAUCCAGUUUCUUCUAUGAAGCCCACAGUCAGGAGCCUCUCUGCCCAGCCAUGAUGUUUCAAUGGCAUACCUGGGGGAUAAACUACUGAGGCGAUAAACAGUCCUAUGCAGAACAAGCUGAGAAACUGCCAGAUUACUGUCCAUAGUGGCUGCACUGGAAAUUUAUGAGGGUUCCAUGCUCUUCAUGUCCCUGGCAACAUUUAUUUGUGGUUGAAUCAGUCAUUUUACUAUAUAGGAAUUG